GACGAACGCUGGCGGCGUGCCUAAUACAUGCAAGUAGAACGCUGAAGGAGGAGCUUGCUUCUCCGGAUGAGUUGCGAACGGGUGAGUAACGCGUAGGUAACCUGCCUGGUAGCGGGGGAUAACUAUUGGAAACGAUAGCUAAUACCGCAUAACAGUAGAUGUUGCAUGACAUUUGCUUAAAAGGUGCAAUUGCAUCACUACCAGAUGGACCUGCGUUGUAUUAGCUAGUUGGUGAGGUAACGGCUCACCAAGGCGACGAUACAUAGCCGACCUGAGAGGGUGCUCGGCCACACUGGGACUGAGACACGGCCCAGACUCCUACGGGAGGCAGCAGUAGGGAAUCUUCGGCAAUGGACGGAAGUCUGACCGAGCAACGCCGCGUGAGUGAAGAAGGUUUUCGGAUCGUAAAGCUCUGUUGUAAGAGAAGAACGAGUGUGAGAGUGGAAAGUUCACACUGUGACGGUAUCUUACCAGAAAGGGACGGCUAACUACGUG
rnacentral:rRNA from 1 species